rnacentral:lncRNA from 1 species
AGACGCUCAGGGCGCGCCCUCGGGGUCGGGGCUCCCUGGCGAAGGGAGUCUGUCUGUCCCAAGCCGCUUUCGUUCCAGAAAACGUGCCAGAGGGCAGGCCGUCUUAAUACAGUGAAAGAAUUGAGGAGACUGGAAUGAAUGGUAUAGGUGGUGGGGUGGUUUGAAAGACGGGAACGUAGCGGGCGGAAACUCUCGAAAAGCGACUGCGCAGGCGCGCGCCGGGCGCGGACGCUCACGGGUCACCCAGGGUAUCCGCCCCAAGCGGAGAAUAUCGGCGCAAGCGCGGAGUAGCCGUGUCACGCAUGCGUGCGAACGCACCACAUUCCGGAACGGGAAGAAGGAGCUGUCUCUCUCUUCUGAGGGGUAGGCAGGUGCUUCCGAAUCGCGGAAUGUAGGUGCUCAUAAGCUGGAGACCCACGGAAAGAACCUAGAAGCUCCGAGCGGUUGCAGACAGCACUGCAUUGAGCCAACGACUCCUGCUCUACUGAUGGUGAUUCCACAGCUUUGUGAGGAAUAAGUUAAGAUGAAGUCAGUGAAGUUUUCUGCGAAUUGCAAACAUUGUAGCAAGUGUUACCAAUUUUAUUAGUUCGACCACGACUUCACUCCUAUAUUUUGAAAAGCUGUUUGCCAAAUUGAACAUAACAAUAAUGGGAAAACAGAUUUUGCUCAAUCAGACCCAGCUCAGUCGGAACCUAGGUUUAUUGUGGAUCUGAUAUAAUUCUAGCACAAAACAAGGAAACCUAGCAUUUAAUACCACCAGAAAAUAUACAAUUUCUGGUAGGCUUUUUUAGAAUAUUGAAAAUUGAUUAUAGGCGGGCGCGGUGGCUCAUGCCUGUCAUCGCAGCACCUUGGGAGGCCUAGGGGGUCGGAUCACCUGAGCCUGGAGGUGAGGAUCAGGCUGAACCUGAGGUUAGAGACCAGCCUGGGCAAGAUAGCGAAACCCCGUCUCUACAAAAAGUACAAAAAAUUAGCUGGGCAUGGUGGCAGCAGGCCUGUAGUCCCAGCUACUCGGGAGGCUGACAUGGGAGGAUUGCUUGAGCUGGGGAGGUUGAGGCUGUAGGGAGCGGAGAUCCCUACACUCCAGCCUGUGAGACAGAGACCCUGUCUCAAAAAAAAAAAUUUUUUUCAUUUGCCGCAUUCUAAGGGGUGGGAGUUAGAAACAACUGUGUGAUUUUAUCCUUUUCAAUUCUAUCAUUCUAUGAUUCUUAUAUAUUUAUUUGGGAAUAAAGUGUGAAAAUACUCAUGACUUAGUAAACUACGUGCGUAUUCAAGGAGGUAAAGGAAGGCAAAGGUUUUUAAAAUUUAAAAAAAAAUGAGAAUUACAUAAUUGUUUUUAAACCGUUAUCCUUGGCUACGAAGAUCAAUAACAAGGUGACACCAGUCGGAAACUGGACAGGAAGUUGCUGGGCAGAUGUUUUUGCGGAAGUAUUUUUUGUGUAAGAUUGUGGCUUUUGGCCAGGUGCGGUGGCU